rnacentral:rRNA from 1 species
UACGUAGGGUGCGAGCGUUAAUCGGAAUUACUGGGCGUAAAGCGUGCGCAGGCGGUUCGCAAAGUCUGAUGUGAAAGCCCCGGGCUCAACCUGGGAACUGCAUUGGAAACUAACGGGCUCGAGUGUGGCAGAGGGGGGUGGAAUUCCACGUGUAGCAGUGAAAUGCGUAGAGAUGUGGAGGAACACCGAUGGCGAAGGCAGCCCCCUGGGCUAACACUGACGCUCAGGCACGAAAGCGUGGGGAGUAAACAGG